GGCUGGGAGAGCAAGAGGCUAUGCUCAGCCAGCGUGUCCCCUUCCUCCCUCACCUCCAUGGAGUCCUUCCCGAAGCUGCAUCCUAGAUCAAAGAGGAUGAGCCUCCCCAAAUAGAGGAGGGCUGGUCCUCCAUCAAGGAUAUAAGAGUAGCUGCGCCCCCUGGUAAAACCUCCAAACCAGCUCUGAACGAUGCUCUGCUCACACAGAAUGGAUGCCGAAGGCGGUCAGUUUGCUAUUUCAAGGUCUCUUUGGCUUUAUUUACUAGGGUUUUAAUUUCUAC
rfam:Mesocricetus auratus contig214271, whole genome shotgun sequence.